rnacentral:rRNA from 1 species
GGUUAAGCGACUAAGCGUACACGGUGGAUGCCCUGGCAGUCAGAGGCGAUGAAGGACGUGCUAAUCUGCGAAAAGCGUCGGUAAGGUGAUAUGAACCGUUAUAGCCGGCGAUGUCCGAAUGGGGAAACCCAGUGCAAUUCGUUGCACUAUCGUUUGAUGAAUACAUAGUCAAACGAGGCGAACCGGGGGAACUGAAACAUCUAAGUACCCCGAGGAAAAGAAAUCAACCGAGAUUCCCCCAGUAGCGGCGAGCGAACGGGGAGCAGCCCGGAGUCUGAAUCAGCUUGUGUGUUAGUGGAAGCGUCUGGAAAGUCGCAGGGUACAGGGUGAUACUCCCGUACACUAAAACACACAGGUUGUGAACUCGAAGAGUAGGGCGGGACACGUGGUAUCCUGUCUGAAUAUGGGGGGACCAUCCUCCAAGGCUAAAUACUCCUGACUGACCGAUAGUGAACCAGUAC